rnacentral:piRNA from 1 species
UCCAUGGUGUUUACUAUGAAUGUGUGGGAAC